rnacentral:rRNA from 1 species
GUCUACAGCCAUACCACCCUGAAUGCGCCUGAUCUCAGAAGCUAAGCGGUCGGGCCUGGUUAGUACUUGGAUGGGAGAAGUAAAUGAAAGUGCAAAGGUAAUGAUGGCU